CCCAACGUUGUUCCUCAAGUUUUUUUUGCCUGGUCUGUAUCAAAAGACAGAAUCUUGAUGACUAAGACAUUUUCUUUGGGUUUGAAGUCUCCAGAGCAGCAAAGAGAGUGGGGAGUAGA
rnacentral:lncRNA from 1 species